rnacentral:rRNA from 1 species
UACGUAGGGUGCAAGCGUUGUCCGGAAUUAUUGGGCGUAAAGAGCUCGUAGGCGGUUUGUCGCGUCGAAUGUGAAAACCCGGGGCUCAACCCCGGGCCUGCAUUCGAUACGGGCAGACUAGAGUUCGGUAGGGGAGUCUGGAAUUCUUGGUGUAGCGGUGAAAUGCGCAGAUAUCAGGAGGAACACCGGUGGCGAAGGCGGGACUCUGGGCCGAUACUGACGCUGAGGAGCGAAAGCGUGGGGAGCGAACAGG